rnacentral:misc_RNA from 1 species
AAGUCGUAACAAGGUUUCCGUAGGUGAACCUGCGGAAGGAUCAUUAAUGAAUUUUGGAGUUCUACUGUGCCUGCCGUUCAUUUGGAUGUGUGCACGUAGUCUCUAUAAAUCCUUAUCAACACCUGUGCACCUUUAAAAAGGGGAAACUGAUUAAGCUUUUUACGGGCUUAUGAGGAAUAACCUUUUUUCUUAUACAAACUCUUAAUGUCUAUUAGAAUGUUCUCUGGCCGCAAGGCUAUAAAAUAUAAACAACUUUUAACAACGGAUCUCUUGGCUCUC